rnacentral:rRNA from 1 species
UGGGGAAUUUUGGACAAUGGGCGAAAGCCUGAUCCAGCAAUGCCGCGUGUGUGAAGAAGGCCUUCGGGUUGUAAAGCACUUUUGUCCGGAAAGAAAUCCUUGGCUCUAAUACAGUCGGGGGAUGACGGUACCGGAAGAAUAAGCACCGGCUAACUACGUGCCAGCAGCCGCGGUAAUACGUAGGGUGCAAGCGUUAAUCGGAAUUACUGGGCGUAAAGCGUGCGCAGGCGGUUUGCUAAGACCGAUGUGAAAUCCCCGGGCUCAACCUGGGAACUGCAUUGGUGACUGGCAGGCUAGAGUAUGGCAGAGGGGGGUAGAAUUCCACGUGUAGCAGUGAAAUGCGUAGAGAUGUGGAGGAAUACCGAUGGCGAAGGCAGCCCCCUGGGCCAAUACUGACGCUCAUGCACGAAAGCGUGGGGAGCAAACAGGAUUAGAUACCCUGGUAGUCCACGCCCUAAACGAUGUCAACUAGUUGUGGGGAUUCAUUUCCUUAGUAACGUAGCUAACGCGUGAAGUUGACCGCCUGGGGGAGUAACGGUCGCAAGAUUAAAACUCAAAGGAAUUGACGGGGUCAUAGCUGUUUCCU